GAUGAACGCUAGCGGCAGGCCUAAUACAUGCAAGUCGGACGGGAUUGAAGAGCUUGCUUUUCAUGAGAGUGGCGCACGGGUGCGUAACACGUAUGUAACCUACCCAUAUCAGGGGGAUAGCCUCUCGAAAGAGAGAUUAAGCCCGCAUAAAAUCACAGUACAGCAUUGUAUAAUGAUCAAAUAUUUAUAGGAUAUGGAUGGGCAUGCGGAACAUUAGCUAGUUGGUAAGGUAACGGCUUACCAAGGCUACGAUGUUUAGGGGAUCUGAGAGGAUGACCCCCCACACUGGUACUGAGACACGGACCAGACUCCUACGGGAGGCAGCAGUAAGGAAUAUUGGUCAAUGGGCGGAAGCCUGAACCAGCCAUGCCGCGUGCAGGAAGACGGCCCUAUGGGUUGUAAACUGCUUUUGCAGGGGAAUAAACCUACCAAUGAAUUGGUAGCUGAAUGUACUCUGAGAAUAAGGAUCGGCUAACUCCGUGCCAGCAGCCGCGGUAAUACGGAGGAUCCAAGCGUUAUCCGGAUUUAUUGGGUUUAAAGGGUGCGUAGGCGGCCUAUUAAGUCAGGGGGGAAAGACGGUAGCUUAACUAUCGCAGUGCCUUUGAUACUGAUG
rnacentral:rRNA from 1 species